GGUGCUGUGGUUAAGUGCUUGGCUGCUAACCAAAAUGUCGGUGGUUCAAACCCACCAGGCACUC
rnacentral:tRNA from 1 species